rfam:Myotis brandtii contig273671, whole genome shotgun sequence.
GGCGGUUCUUGGGUGGUGCACCCCAGAAUUGGGCUCCCUCUUCUCUGGUUCCGGGUGCGUCACCCGAGAACCGCA